rnacentral:rRNA from 1 species
CUGGUGGUUGUUUCGGCGGCGCAAGAGGAGACGCUGUGCGUUGGAAAAAGGGAGGGGGAUAUGUGAUCUAGUCUAGGAACUAUAUCUCUUCUUGGGCGGAGGAGGAGGGUUGGUGUUGAUGGAGGUAGAGCCGUUCCACUCGGGCACUCAGACCGAUGGUACUAAAAAGGGCGCUUUGGGGGCACACGAGAGACCAAGCGUCCAAGGAGCAGCUAGCUGCCCGACCCGAACGCCGCUAGAACCUCGCUCAACGCUCCGCCGACGUAGAAGGCCAGACGGGCAGGCCGCUCAGUCUAGACAAUGGAUAGACUACCGGGCGCCGCCUAGACCCCCAAGGGCCACCAGAGCCCAACUGGGACGCCGCUCCUUCCGCAGAAGAGGCCGUACGUGCACCCCUAGGGCAGAAGAGGCGGAGCGCGCUGCCGCCGAGAACAUAACUAUUAAUAGGCUACUAUAGAGCUAUUAAUAAUCUAGAUUCUCUAGCCUCCAUUCUCGUACAUUGUUCGCUCCACUAGCACGGUUCUCCCUUUUUCCUCACUUUUUUCUCUCUCUACACUGUGGAUCUCCGGAAACGGUACAACCCACGCGAGCGUACCGUCCGGUGGUGGCAUUAUUUCUACCAAGAACACAGGCCCCCCUCUAGCGUGCCCCUAAAAAGACAAAGUCGGGGCCCCAGAGGGGGGUGGCACAGGACCACACGAGGAAACAGACGUGGAGAGCAGGCUAGGUUAGAAGGACCGUGUUGCAAGAUGGCAGCGCUUAGCUAGUUCCUCGAUGUUUGGUUUCCAUGUUAGCUAUUAGAUGUCGACUUCGUAUGUAUUUGAACUCUGUUUCAUGACGAGAGCAUUUAACAUUAAGACAAGACUCGAACAAAUGUGCCUCCUUAAGCACUAGUGAACUUGGGCAAAUUCAAUGAGAGUCAGAGCAUCAACAUCACUUUAGUAAACAGACUAAGCGACAACUUAGACGAUAGUAUAGUGUCGAGUUUAAACUUGAAUUUAUUGUUAGCCGUCAGAUUUGUCUUCCGGUUUAGCAAAACAAAAGAUAAAAAGGGGUCUUAUACCAUAUAUAUAGUUCCCAACAAUAAAAAAGAUUUAAACACAAGUAUACAAACAGACGAGAGAACUCUACAUGUUACUAGUGUUAAACUAGCACCAGAGAUAAAGUUAAACUCUACAUGUUACAUGUUACAAGUAUACAAACAGACGAGAGGACUUAUCGAAAUACUACCCUAACAUAUCAGGUCUUUAAUUUAGAUGUCGAUAGAAGGGACCUACACCUGUAGUAUAAAUACUUCUUCGUGGGACGUCGUCUUCUUAGAUUUGCACCUGGAGUUAAGACCAGUAGUAUCCGAGUCGUCUGAAGCUCUUUGACCAAUUCUACAUGAGGUCAUUUAAUACACGAUAAACUAAGAAGACGUAAAUCAGUCACCAAUCAAAAUCAAGUUUAUAAUGUAAGGUAUAUAGGGUGUGUAUUAAAGUAUAACUCGUUCAGAUAAAAGUUAGAAGACUUGAAUAAAAAAGUCAAAAUUAUAUAGACAGUCGUUACUCAAAAUCAACACAAAAACAGGUCAACCCGUGUGUAUUAAAACUCCUAGAACACGUCAAUCAAAUAACAUGAUGUAUCAACAACUAACCAUGCGCGUCUAUUAAAAGUCGGUAAAUGGUCAAUAUAGACCUGAUCUAGAACUUGACUAGACGUUACCAUCAACGGCGUCGUUGACGAUUACAAAUAAUCAGAAACAUCAUAAAGCCCAGUUUUAAACUGGUAUACAAACAGAAUUACGUACAGUGUUUUAAUAUAACAACUUAAACAUAAACUUACAUCGAAGUAAAAUACAAACGAAACAUAUUGGAUAUGAGAGAGUCAGGUUCACAUCAGCUAAAUAAAGUUCAAAAAUAUUAAACAUUUCGUUGCUGUGAAUAACCUACCUCAUAAAAUAUUCAAUUCAAGUACCAGUUUUAGGCUGACUUUUAUACUUUAAAUAUAUGCGACCCACGAUGUGUUAUGAUGGAGUAAGACCCAAAUAAUGAGGAACAGCAUAAAACCCAGUUUUAAACUAGUAUACAACCAGAAUUACGUACAGUAGUUUAAUAUAACAACUUACAUAAACUUACACCAAAGUUAAAUACAAACGAUACAUAUUGGAUAUGAGGGAGUCAGGGUUUUAUUCACAUCAACUAAAUAAUUUAAGAAAUAAAUAAUAUUUCGUCACCGUGAAUAUAUCCUACCUCCCUCAUAAAAUAGUCAAUUUAAGUACCAGUUUUAGACUGGGUUUUAUACUUUAAAUGGCGAGGUGUUGUGAUGGAGUAAGACCCAAAUAAUCAGGAAUAGAAUAAAACCCAGUUUUUAAACUGGUAUACAAACAGAAUUACGGAAAGUGGUUUAAUAUAAACUUAACUACAUCACAGUUAAAUAAAAACGAUAUACUGAAUAUGAGAUAGCCAGGGUUUUAUUCACUUCAACUAAAUAAAAUUCGAAAAAUAUUUCGUGCUGUCAAUAUAACCUAACUCCGUCAUAGAAUAAUCAAUUUUAGUACCACUUUUAGACUGGGUUUAAUACAAUCAUUUGGGUUUUAUAUUCCAAAGAAGAAAACGUACUUUUAGAAGUAUAAACGUAGUAAUCUAGCAGUACUUUUCAUAAAAAUAAAUAAUUUUAAUUCUACUACUAUAAAUUAGAUAUUAGAACAAGUUAUCAUUUGGUAUGUAACAUAAAACCUUACCACCCUCAUUAUUCGUUGUUCAUAAUAGAAGGGAAAAGCAGUACCUAGAAAGACAGUCCUCUCUAAGAGACACCUAGGCCCCGUAUACGAGUUUAGGGUCUACCUUCCACCAAGUUAAGGUGUUUCUAAGAAAUCAACGAAUCGAUUUUAAAGUCGUGAAUUGUAGACUAGUAGACCAACGUAAUAAUACCAAAAUACACUUGUUUUUUCAUAUAUAAUUUCAAAACAAAAAGGUAAACAUCUUGUGACAUACAACUGAAGAGAGAG